rnacentral:rRNA from 2 species
UGCAGUCGAGCGGACAGAUGGGAGCUUGCUCCCUGAUGUUAGCGGCGGACGGGUGAGUAACACGUGGGUAACCUGCCUGUAAGACUGGGAUAACUCCGGGAAACCGGGGCUAAUACCGGAUGCUUGUUUGAACCGCAGGGUUCAAACAUAAAAGGUGGCUUCGGCUACCACUUACAGAUGGACCCGCGGCGCAUUAGCUAGUUGGUGAGGUAACGGCUCACCAAGGCAACGAUGCGUAGCCGACCUGAGAGGGUGAUCGGCCACACUGGGACUGAGACACGGCCCAGACUCCUACGGGAGGCAGCAGUAGGGAAUCUUCCGCAAUGGACGAAAGUCUGACGGAGCAACGCCGCGUGAGUGAUGAAGGUUUUCGGAUCGUAAAGCUCUGUUGUUAGGGAAGAACAAGUACCGUUCGAAUAGGGCGGUACCUUGACGGUACCUAACCAGAAAGCCACGGCUAACUACGUGCCAGCAGCCGCGGUAAUACGUAGGUGGCAAGCGUUGUCCGGAAUUAUUGGGCGUAAAGGGCUCGCAGGCGGUUCCUUAAGUCUGAUGUGAAAGCCCCCGGCUCAACCGGGGAGGGUCAUUGGAAACUGGGGAACUUGAGUGCAGAAGAGGAGAGUGGAAUUCCACGUGUAGCGGUGAAAUGCGUAGAGAUGUGGAGGAACACCAGUGGCGAAGGCGACUCUCUGGUCUGUAACUGACGCUGAGGAGCGAAAGCGUGGGGAGCGAACAGGAUUAGAUACCCUGGUAGUCCACGCCGUAAACGAUGAGUGCUAAGUGUUAGGGGGUUUCCGCCCCUUA